GAUGAACGCUAGCGGCAGGCUUAACACAUGCAAGUCGAGGGACGGUAGCAAUACUGGACCGGCAAACGGGUGCGGAACACGUACGCAACUUACCCCAAACAGGUGAAUAGCCUUCGGAAACGAAGAUUAAUACACCGUAAGAUAUAGGAGUGGCAUCAUUUUUAUAUAAUAGCUCAGGCGGUUUGGGAUGGGCGUGCGCCUGAUUAGGUAGUUGGUGGGGUAACGGCUCACCAAGCCAACGAUCAGUAACUGGUGUGAGAGCACGACCAGUCACACGGGCACUGAGACACGGGCCCGACUCCUACGGGAGGCAGCAGUGAGGAAUAUUGGGCAAUGGACGCAAGUCUGACCCAGCCAUGCCGCGUGAAGGAUGAAGGCGUUCUGCGUUGUAAACUUCUUUUAUCUGGGAAGAAACCUACGAUUUCUAUUGUAGCUGACGGUACCAGAGGAAUAAGCACCGGCUAACUCCGUG
rnacentral:rRNA from 1 species